rnacentral:lncRNA from 1 species
UUUGAAUUUUAUUACUCACAAAGUAAUUUCACAGACGUCAUUUUGGUUCAGUAAAUUCUACGAUGUAGUAUCAUAAUUCCCAAUCUAAUUUUGAAGGAGUGAGAGGAGGCAAUCGUUUGCUCAAAGUCAUAGCAGCUAUCCACCCUUGGAGUUUUCUGCUUUUAUCCUGACUUUCCCAUGCAGGUCUUUUAAUUUUGGGAGGAUUCACUUAUUCAUGAUAGUCACCCGUGACACCAAUGAUGAAUGUUAGAGGUAGCAAACAAAUUUUAUUUUCCAUAAAUCUGAUGGGAUAAAGUUGCUUCUUCCUCUUUGUUAAUGAUUGGAGGUGUUAGAAUGAGCAAGGCAAGUUUGGGAGCAUGAGUGUAGUUCUUUAGGCACUGAGGUAAUGCCGGCAUUCUUGAGAAAAGCAGUAAUGUGAUGUCAGUUUUCUUCUAGAAGGGAUUUGGCAGCAAUGACUAAAAUGGAUGAGGACAGAGAUGGAAAGAAAUCAUGCAAUUUAGGAGAUUCUUGAAACAGCUCGUAUGAGAUGCACAUAAGGCUUCCAGGGUGGGAACUGCCGGGAAGAGGGCCCAGGACUGAUGGCAAGAAGCACUGGGACUGACAGAGUGUGGUCAUAAAUGAGGGCAAGGACCUGAGAUCUGACCAGGUAAAUGAGAAGCUGAGAUGCUAUCUGCCCUAAGAGGAGAGAGGACGGCAAUAUAGUGGCAGUGUUUCGGAGGAAGGAGCAUUAUGAGGAGGGUGAUGAUGGUGCUUGGAAGAUACAUUGCAAAAGAUCAGGUUUUUUAUCUCCUUGGGUUUACAAAUGGAGGCAGUGCUUAUUCCUGUAACUCCCUAGCCUGCAUACUUGGAAUAAAUCACGGGUCAAAGGCAAGCAAUUUCUCAACAUUGGUCUGUCACAGCUUCCUUACGAACCACAAGCAGGGAGCAGGGAUGAGCAAUAUCACAGGGUUCCAAUAUCCUUCUGUCAGCAAUGUGGCUUCCAGGCAUCUCAUCUGGUCACUGGCUGGGGCUAGGACAAGCCCUUAGAGGACAGCACGGCACCUGUUGAACACAUGUUCACUGCCUGCAGAGUCUGUGGUGGAGUGAGGC